CAUAAAACGUGAAUCAGAUGGUACAGCGGCUGGCUUCACACCUUCUCUAAACUGAACAUAAACAAACCACACAGUGUUUUAGCGCGAGGCGCUAACUCGGCCAGCCUCGUUGCCAUUUUUACGUGCUUCCCAAACUCUUGUGGGCAUCCGAGGGAGCUGCACUUGUUGAAUUUCUGCCCACUUUAAAGUGUGUGGGGGAGGGGAGGAGGGUGGCCACCGCAGAGCUUGCGACUGGACUCACACUCCUUCCUUACUCCCAGCACCACGACGGCGGCUUCGGCGCUGCUAGCAACAGCCAGGAGAAAGCACUACAGGCAGAGGGCAUUUCCAGCGGCGUUGACAGACUACUUACCAAGGAGCACUGGUGGGCAUGGAAUGUUGCAAGUACACCAGACAGUUGAAGAAGGAAAAAUUCAACUGUAAAGUCAGCAAAAGCAAUCGGGAAUCUGGAAUCCACAGCAAAUCCUGAAGUAACAAGGCACUAACAUCUCAAGGCAGCUGGAAGAGUGGGAACUUGAGUCCAGACAAACUGCAAUGUGAGAGGAGGAGCAAACCAACCAGCUUAAAGAAAUCAAUUGGACCCACCCCCCUUCCUGCUGCAGUACCUGAU